UACAUGCAAGUCGAACGCUUCUUUCCUCCCGAGUGCUUGCACUCAAUUGGAAAGAGGAGUGGCGGACGGGUGAGUAACACGUGGGUAACCUACCCAUCAGAGGGGGAUAACACUUGGAAACAGGUGCUAAUACCGCAUAACAGUUUAUGCCGCAUGGCAUAAGAGUGAAAGGCGCUUUCGGGUGUCGCUGAUGGAUGGACCCGCGGUGCAUUAGCUAGUUGGUGAGGUAACGGCUCACCAAGGCCACGAUGCAUAGCCGACCUGAGAGGGUGAUCGGCCACACUGGGACUGAGACACGGCCCAGACUCCUACGGGAGGCAGCAGUAGGGAAUCUUCGGCAAUGGACGAAAGUCUGACCGAGCAACGCCGCGUGAGUGAAGAAGGUUUUCGGAUCGUAAAACUCUGUUGUUAGAGAAGAACAAGGACGUUAGUAACUGAACGUCCCCUGACGGUAUCUAACCAGAAAGCCACGGCUAACUACGUGCCAGCAGCCGCGGUAAUACGUAGGUGGCAAGCGUUGUCCGGAUUUAUUGGGCGUAAAGCGAGCGCAGGCGGUUUCUUAAGUCUGAUGUGAAAGCCCCCGGCUCAACCGGGGAGGGUCAUUGGAAACUGGGAGACUUGAGUGCAGAAGAGGAGAGUGGAAUUCCAUGUGUAGCGGUGAAAUGCGUAGAUAUAUGGAGGAACACCAGUGGCGAAGGCGGCUCUCUGGUCUGUAACUGACGCUGAGGCUCGAAAGCGUGGGGAGCAAACAGGAUUAGAUACCCUGGUAGUCCACGCCGUAAACGAUGAGUGCUAAGUGUUGGAGGGUUUCCGCCCUUCAGUGCUGCAGCAAACGCAUUAAGCACUCCGCCUGGGGAGUACGACCGCAAGGUUGAAACUCAAAGGAAUUGACGGGGGGCCCGCACAAGCGGGGGAGCAUGU
rnacentral:rRNA from 1 species